UCAUUGAGAUGUUGACAUAUGUC
rnacentral:snRNA from 1 species